UACGUAGGGUGCAAGCGUUGUCCGGAAUUAUUGGCCGUAAAGAGCUCGUAGGCGGUCUGUCACGUCGGCUGUGAAAACCCGAGGCUCAACCUCGGGCCUGCAGUCGAUACGGGCAAACUAGAGUACUGCAGGGGAGACUGGAAUUCCUGGUGUAGCGGUGAAAUGCGCAGAUAUCAGGAGGAACACCGGUGGCGAAGGCGGGUCUCUGGGCAGUAACGUGACGCUGGAGGAGCGAAAGCCGUGGGGAGCGAACAGG
rnacentral:rRNA from 1 species